UUCUUAUCCAGAGAGGUGGAGGGACUGGCCCUAUGAAACCCGACAACCGGCAUUUUAAUAUGUAUCGGUGUCAAUUCCUACAAAGUAAUUUGAAUUACUUUGAAAGAUAAGAA
rfam:Clostridium carboxidivorans P7 ctg00117, whole genome shotgun sequence.